UACGAAGGGGGCUAGCGUUGCUCGGAAUCACUGGGCGUAAAGCGCACGUAGGCGGAUCGUUAAGUCGGGGGUGAAAUCCUGGAGCUCAACUCCGGAACUGCCUUCGAUACUGGCGAUCUUGGAGUCCGGGAGAGGUGAGUGGAACUCCGAGUGUAGAGGUGAAAUUCGUAGAUAUUCGGAAGAACACCAGUGGCGAAGGCGGCUCACUGGCCCGGUACUGACGCUGAGGUGCGAAAGCGUGGGGAGCAAACAGG
rnacentral:rRNA from 1 species